AAAUCUCUGAAACCUCCUAUGAGGUCAAAUUAACAUUUGCUGUGAGUAACGUCAGCAUGCCAGUGGACAUUAAACAAAGAAACAGCACCUUAACACAUCUCCAGGAUGUUGUCAAUGUAGCGGUGAACACUCUUCUGAAUGAGCCUGGCAAAGCGUCUCUGCAACCCAACUCCUCCAGUUUCCUGUAAGAUUGAAAUUGAUUGCUGUCAAAGACAAUUUAGCAAAAAUGUCUUUGUAGAAAUAUCACAACAUUGAAGGAAAUUAAACAAAAUGCAUUAAAAUAGUCUAGAAACAUACUGACAAAGUUUUUCAUACACAUGUAUUUUAGCUUCUUAAAAAUUUAUUUUCUGUUCUUUUUCAGGAGCACACCAAACCAAAUUAAUGGCUCUUUGAAUUAUAUCAUCCGAGAUGGAGAUGCCAUACAACCAGUUAGCUUUCUACAAAAGCUUCAAUCGCUCAAGAUAUCGUCCACUACAUCAGCAUCACCACUGACAACAAGCAGCUCACCUGUUAAGUUUGUAUCUGGUUCAGCAGUGGUUACAAGCACACUGCAGUUCAACUCCUCAUCUCCAGUGCCCAGUCAGGAUCUGGUCCUCAAAGCUAUCGGUGAUCUAAGAAAAUCCAGAGAGUCACAACUCAAUGAAUCAGUCAAGCUGCUGAAUGUGACCU